CAUUACCAAAAAUUUGCGUACACACAUUUGUUGUUGGUCCUGGAUAAACCCAUUCUGUGUACCUUGCCUGUUGCUUCCAUGGAGCCUGACACCCUCCGCUCUUGUGAUGUCAGGCGCGCCCUACCCCCCUUCUGAGGUUCUGCAUCUUUACACACACUGCAAUGAAUUCUUAUGGAAUGGUCACCACCAAUGGUUAAAUAUUAUACAACUUUCACCAUCGGAUCUCUUGGCUCUCACAACGAUGAAGAACGCAGCUAAAUGCGGUAAGUAAUGUAAAUUGCAGAAUCCAGUAAAUUUUCAAAUCUUUUAACGCCCCUUGCGCCCCUUGGAGAUUCCCAAGGGCAUGCCUGUUUAAGUACCAUGAACACAUCAUCUCUCGUGGUUGGACAUGAAGAACUUGGACUUUGGCCGUUUUGACAUCCUGCGGUCGACUCCUCUUAAUGAAUGAGCUUGCCAGUGUUUGGUGGCUUCUCGGGUGGAUAACUAUCUACCCUUGCAAUUGUUUAUUCCAAGCCUGACCUGACAGAGGUUAGCUGGCCCUCAUAAACUUCUCUCCUCACGAGGACAAGGAAUUUAAGUUCGAUCUCAAAUCAGGUAGGAUA
rnacentral:rRNA from 1 species